UCCUGUGGCAGGAACCUGUCGGCCGGUGGCAGCUCUGGAGCUGGCCCUCAGCAGCUGGUGACACAGCUGGCCGGCCCCCUCCAUUCGUAAUUGUUGACACUGGGGGGUGAGUGUUAGCGACUCGCCGUGUCCAGAUUCACUUUAUGCUGGGCCAUGGGGAAGAGGCAACGCUAACAAGAACAAACCCAGAAUAAACCAGCGAGAAGUUGGCCGGACCUGCCGGACAAGAGCAGCCUGACUCCCUGACAAGUCGUCCAUGUCGUGCCCACCUUGCGUUGUGUUCCUGGAAGGGUGCUGGCCCGACCCAGCCGUGUCGCCCAAGGGCUGACGCUGGGCUUCCACAGGAAGCUCGCUGCCUUUGCUGAUCUUUCCACAUCACUGAUUUCACUCUCGGCCCUUCCUGAAGUCGAGAGGCUGCCCCGAUGACAGGCGCUGGUCACGAGUGCUGGGAGGAGUUAUCUUUUGAAGCUGGGUCCUGGAUAUUCAGCCCCAAAGAGGGCAUGACAUCCACCAACCAUUUGGCAGUAGCACCCCAUCCCCCAAUUUGUUGGGUCUCCAUUAACUGAAAGCCAUCGUGUCCUUACAAAGCAGUGGGCAUGGCUGUCACCCGGCUCCCAGCCCUCUGGGGAGUGGCUGUCCCCAUCUCACAGUGCUCUCACUGCUACCUGGCAACUCACUUCUGGUCCUUGAACGCUACUUUUCAAAUCACUGCCCUAAACCUAGUGCUAUUGCUAACAUUGUUAAAGUUGGGAAAAAUUAUUUGGCAGUUAGGAGGUAGAUUGCAAUUCCAAAGUUCCUCUUCUUUAAAAAAAAAUAAAUCCAAACUUACAUUGUUCUCAUUCUCAUUCAUUCUGGAAUAAAGCUUGUUGCAAAGAAGUAUUUGCACAUGACCCUGUUUGUCCUCCUGGAGAAUGACCUUGUUUGGGACACAAGGAAGAUGAUGUCAUUGGC